UACGUAGGGGGCUAGCGUUGUCCGGAUUUAUUGGGCGUAAAGAGCUCGUAGGCGGCUUGUCACGUCGGGUGUGAAAGCCCGGGGCUUAACCGGGGAACUGCAUCUGAUACUGGAUGGCUUGAGUUCGGGAGAGGGAUGCGGAAUUCCAGGUGUAGCGGUGAAAUGCGUAGAUAUCUGGAGGAACACCGGUGGCGAAGGCGGCAUCCUGGACCGACACUGACGCUGAGGAGCGAAAGCCAGGGGAGCAAACGGG
rnacentral:rRNA from 1 species